rnacentral:snRNA from 1 species
GGAUGUGAGGGCGAUCUGGCUGUGACAUCUGAUUGUCACUGGUUGAUUGGCUGAUCUUGCUGGCCAGGUGGGUGUUCCCCUCUCCCUGGAUGCUGUAUAUGUGUCCUGCCUGGAACCUUCUAGCUCAGUCGAAGAGAACAACCAGCCCUGAUAGAGGAGGGCCGUUUCUCAGCAAGCAUAUGUGAGUAGCUGUGCUCCCCUGCUACAGCCUCCAGACAAGCUCUCAAGGAAAUAAAGGGCAGAUAAAAAUCCUGUUUUCUGAGGAUUAACAGAGAACAAUGCAUAAAAACAAAAUUGCUUAUACUUUCAUGACUGGACAAUUCUACUUUGUUUAUCAGU